UCCAAGGCCGAAAGCAAUGCGGCCGCGGAACACACCGAGCGAGAAAAACAGGAGGCGCGGGUGGCGGAGGUGCGGCAAGAGCUCCAGGCUCUUGUAGAAAAACACGAGAGUUUGGAGCGUGACUCGAAGACUCGAGAGUCCGAGCUUGCCUCGGCUCUUGAGAGCGCCAAAGCCGCUAAGGCCGAAGCCCAAAAAGCCCUCCAGGAAAUUGAAGCAAUAAAUAAAAUAGCGGCCGGAGCAUUCACAGAUCUGCCCCACAGUGUGUCCGACGCUGCCGCAUUCUACCGGCCCGAGGAAUGGAGCUCGACGGAGAAGGUGUUCUGGUCUCAGUAUGCUGAGGCCGGACACCAGGUGCCCUUGAGCGACCAGCUAAAGCAGCUGGUCGAGCUCCAUAAGGUGGCCGAACAGGCCAUGAAGAGUCUCAUAGUUCGGUUGUGGCCGAAGGAGGCCAUGCCUGAGAGCUACUUCGGGCUGGUGAGGCGGCUUGUGGACGCCUGUCCAAGGAUUGAAGUCGUCAAGCGCUCCGUCUGCAUCGAAGGUGCCCGUAGGGCCCUUGCCCGUGCUAAAGUGCACUGGGGCAAGAUGGACGCUGAGAAGCUUGUGACGGACGCUCCACCGCCGGGCAGGGAGUAUCGCAAGCCCGAGAUGUAUUAUCAGGGCAUCCUGAAGGGUGCCCGCCUUAUAGCCGGUGAAUGCUCCAAAGAUGUAAUUUUUGAGUAA
rnacentral:rRNA from 1 species